UACAGAGGUCCCGAGCGUUGUUCGGAUUCACUGGGCGUAAAGGGUGCGUAGGUGGUGAGGUAAGUCGGAUGUGAAAUCUCCGGGCUCAACCCGGAAAUGGCAUUGGAAACUACCUUGCUAGAGGAUUUGAGGGGGGAUUGGAAUACUUGGUGUAGCAGUGAAAUGCGUAGAUAUCGGGAGGAACACCAGUGGCGAAGGCGACUACCUGGCCUGUUCUUGACGCUGAGGCGCGAAAGCUAGGGGAGCAAACGGG
rnacentral:rRNA from 1 species